UCGCGCGCAAAUAUUAUUAACUAUUAAGCUAGCUAGUACCUAUUCCAUUUAUGUGGCGUCGUCAAAGAUGGAAUCAGCAUGCAGAUGAUGCAGAGCAGGCAACAGAUGGCACACAGACAGCAGAGUUGGAGACAGAUAUGCAGGGACAGACUGGCAGAGACAGGGAGUCUCAGUUGAAUCUCACUGACAUCAUCCGGCAGUAAGAAGAUGUCCACUCCACACCAGUAUUUCCCAGCAACCUUCAGGCUCAGUGUAUAUAUGACGACGGUGAAGACUGCAGCAGUGAUGUUGUCGUACACAGAGAAUCUCCCUUCUCUAACCCAGACGUCAUGCUUCCUGGUCCGAAGCUUCUUCAUGUGUCCCUCCACUCCCCUCACAGAGGAGCUUCCCUUCAUCCCAGAUGUCAUCUUGUUCUCUAUAGAGCACUGCCUUUGACCAGGGUCCAUUUGGGGGAAAGGUAAUAGGGUGCCAUUUGGGACACAUUCCUUGUAUAUAUUCUAUAGUACUACAUUAUUUUGGGUGGCUGGGCUGUAGAGUAGAUGGUGUCUUCUGGAGUGUCUUUAGAGAGGUGUACAGCAGGGUAUCUUGUAGAUUCUACAGUAUCUUUGGGUAGCUGGGCUGUAGAAUAGAUGGAAUCAUCCUGGGUUCCACUGGCUGUUGGAGGGCUUGAAGAGACUCUAGAAUCUUUGGGUAGAGAUCCAUAUUGGAGUAGAUGAGAGAAGCUGGGUGAUCUGCAGUAGAAUAGCUUGGAUUUCUAUAAUCUUUGUGGCAGCUUGCAUUAGCAUAGAUGUCACAGUGUGGGACACCGAUAGCAUGGCCAGCAGGGUAGGUGAGAGACGCUUGGUCAGCAGGGUAGGUAGUAGAGGCUUGGUCAGCAGGGUAGGUUGUAGAAGCUUGGCCAGCAGGGUAGGUUGUAGAGACUUGGCCAGCAGGGUAGGUUGUAGUGGCUUGGUCAGCAGGGUAGGUUGUAGAGGGUUGGCCAGCAGAGUAGGUUGUAGAGACUUGGCCAGUAGGGAAGGUUGUAGAGUGUUGGCCAGCAGGGUAGGUUGUAGAGACUUGGCCAGCAGGGUAGGUUGUAGAGACUUGGCCAGCAGGGUAGGUUGUAGAGACUUGGCCAGCAGGGUAGGUUGUAGAGACUUGGCCAGCAGGGUAGGUUGUAGAGGGUUGGCCAGCAGGGCAGGUUGUAGAGGUUUGACCAGCAGGGUAGGUUGUAGAGACUUGGCCAGCAGGGUAGGUUGUAGAGACUUGGCCAGCAGGGUAGGUUGUAGAGACUUGGCCAGCAGGGUAGGUUGUAGAGACUUGGCAAGCAGGGUAGGUUCUAGAGACUUGGCCAGCAGGGUAGGUUGUAGAGACUUGGCCAGCAGGGUAGGUGGUAGAGGGUUGGCCAGCAGGGCAGGUUGUAGAGGCUUGACCAGCAGGGCAGGUUGUAGAGACUAGGCCAGCAGGGUAGGUAGUAGAGACUUGGCCAGCAGGGUAGGUUGUAGAGACUUGGCCAGCAGGGUAGGUUGUAGAGGGUUGGCCAGCAGGGUAGGUUGUAGAGACUUGGCCAGCAGGGUAGGUUGUAGAGACUUGGCCAGCAGGGUAGGUUGUAGAGGGUUGGUCAGCAGGGUAGGUUGUAGAGGGUUGGCCAGAAGGGUAGGUUGUAGGUGAAUUGACAGUAGAGUAGACUAAAGAGAUGACCACAGGGAGUGUGUCUGUCUGUCUGUCUGCCUCUCUGAUCUCCUCAUACACACAGUCAACCUGCAUACAGAACCAAAGACAAUAAAUACAUGUUCAAAUAUGGAAAGAAGUCGAAGGUCCUCAACAAUCAACAACAUGUUAGCCACUGUAUUUCAUCAUGGAAUGAUAACAGACGACAGUACAAUCCAAUUAGAGGCUAUAGACUCACACACUCAACCCUAAGAUGUUUAGUUUACCACCUGCCUGUCUAUCACCACUACAAUAAAAGUUGUUAUGGACACACACACACGCACACACCACACACCCUGAUAUCUCUCACCUCUCCAGUAGGGUCAGGUUGUGUGUUGGAGGAGACUGGUGGUAGUGGUGGUGUUCUCCUGGUUCCUCUCCUCUGUCUGUAGAACAGGAGCAGGACCAGUCCUAACACUGUCACCAUGACUACCAGACCAGCACUGGUCCACACCAUCAGACCUGACCACAGACAGGAGGAGAGACUUUACAGAGUACUGUAUAUAUCAUAGAUACCAUCAGACCUGACCACAGACAGGAGGAGAGACUUUACAGAGUACUGUAUAUAUCAUAGAUACCAUCAGACCUGACCACAGACAGGAGGAGAGACUUUACAGAGUACUGUAUAUAUCAUAGAUACCAUCAGACCUGACCACAGAGAGGAGGAGAGACUUUACAGAGUACUGUAUAUAUCAUAGAUACCAUCAGACCUGACCACAGACAGGAGAGACUUUACAGAGUACUGUAUAUAUCAUAGAUACCAUCAGACCUGACCACAGACAGGAGGAGAGACUUUACAGAGAACUGUAUAUAUCAUAGAUACCAUCAGACCUGACCACAGACAGGAGGAGAUACUUUACAGAGCACUGUAUAUAUCAUAGAUACCAUCAGACCUGACCACAGACAGGAGGAGAUACUUUACAGAGUACUGUAUAUAUCAUAGAUACCAUCAGACCUGACCACAGACAGGAGGAGAUACUUUACAGAGUACUGUAUAUAUCAUAGAUACCAUCAGACCUGACCACAGACAGGAGGAGAG
rnacentral:lncRNA from 1 species